GAUGAACGCUGGCGGCGUGCCUAAUACAUGCAAGUCGAGCGAACAGAUAAGGAGCUUGCUCCUUUGACGUUAGCGGCGGACGGGUGAGUAACACGUGGAUAACCUACCUAUAAGACUGGGAUAACUUCGGGAAACCGGAGCUAAUACCGGAUAACAUAUUGAACCGCAUGGUUCAAUAGUGAAAGGCGGCUUUGCUGUCACUUAUAGAUGGAUCCGCGCCGUAUUAGCUAGUUGGUAAGGUAACGGCUUACCAAGGCAACGAUACGUAGCCGACCUGAGAGGGUGAUCGCCCACACUGGAACUGAGACACGGUCCAGACUCCUACGGGAGGCAGCAGUAGGGAAUCUUCCGCAAAGGGCGAAAGCCUGACGGAGCAACGCCGCGUGAGUGAUGAAGGUCUUCGGAUCGUAAAACUCUGUUAUCAGGGAAGAACAAAUGUGUAAGUAACUGUGCACAUCUUGACGGUACCUGAUCAGAAAGCCACGGCUAACUACGUG
rnacentral:rRNA from 1 species